GACGAACGCUGGCGGCGUGCCUAAUACAUGCAAGUAGAACGCACAGUUUAUACCGUAGCUUGCUACACCAUAGACUGUGAGUUGCGAACGGGUGAGUAACGCGUAGGUAACCUGCCUGGUAGCGGGGGAUAACUAUUGGAAACGAUAGCUAAUACCGCAUAAUAUUGAUUAUUGCAUGAUAAUUAAUUGAAAGGUGCAAUUGCACCACUACCAGAUGGACCUGCGUUGUAUUAGCUAGUAGGUGAGGUAACGGCUCACCUAGGCGACGAUACAUAGCCGACGUGGGAGGGUGAUCGGCCACAAUGGGACUGGGACAAGGCCCAGACUCCUACGGGAGGCAGCAGUAGGGAAUCUUCGGCAAUGGGCGAAAGUCUGACCGAGCAACGCCGCGUGAGGGAAGAAGGUUUUCGGAUCGUAAAGCUCUGUUGUAAGAGAAGAACGGGUGUGAGAGUGGAAAGUUCACACUGUGACGGUAUCUUAACAGAAAGGGACGGCUAACUACGUG
rnacentral:rRNA from 1 species